rnacentral:snRNA from 1 species
AUGUUCAAUAUGUAACAAUGAAAAUACAUCCUGCUACAGAGAAGAUUAGCCCGGCCCCUGUGCAAGGAUGACAUGCAAAUUCGUGAAGCAUUCCAUAUUUUA